rnacentral:lncRNA from 1 species
UUUUUUGGAACAUUCACAACCACGUUUAUGGACUAACAUCUUUUGGUUGGGUUGAAUUAAAGAUGAAGAGACCGCUUCAGUAUCGUUAUUGCACAUAAGUGAAUUAUGAUCACCGUGUUUCCUUGAAGUGGUCUACUCGCUCCCAUUCUCUGCCAAAAUUCUUGAUCUUUGUUUCCGGUAUCAAGGUUUUCCAUAGAAUUUGAUUAAUGGUGUACUCAAAGUAUCUCUUACAGACUAUAUAUGAAACAUAUUAUACCAGUAGCUCGUGAUACAUUUGAUCGUAUAAUGUUUUAAUAUGUAUAUAUUCAUAAUAAAUCCAGUAAAUACUGAAUAGUGAUGCAUGAUAUAUCCAAGUUAAUAAAAACUUAAAUGAAGACAGCAUAAGUAGUAAACUAAAACCACCUAAGAAAUAAAUUAAAAUUUACAAAUGUC